AUUGAAUGCCGAUCCAGUACAUGGACGAUGGAAUGGAGAAAUUGAUAGACGCAAGUUUACGAAACGAAACGGCGAUCGUAUAGUUGUGAAAAUUUCUGUGCCGACAUUACGGAAUUUGUUUAUGGCACACGAUGCCAUUGGAAAAGGAGAGUGCAGAGUUCUAGAAGCAUGUAACACGUGUGAGAAAUUUCUUAUAUCGCUCAUGGAACUCUCGUUUCCUACGUCUUACACGUAACACAUCGGUCGGGCUGAAUUCGUUUCGAAACUGGACGAUCGAGCUUCGAGAUGGCUACGUAUUUAUGUGAUAAAUAUGGUGGUGGAUGUGUGUACGCUGGUGGCCGAGGGCUGGGAUAGGAUAACUGUGACUUUUCAGACAGUAAUUUGUUAAGCUCCGGAUCAUAUUUUUCUCGAGAACUUGUGCGUGGCUGGAAUUUCUUAGGAAACUUUCUCCAGCAAGUUUUCAAGUUAGAUUCUCUGAAUGGUAAUUAAUAAAUCGUUGGUAUACGUGAGUGUAAAGAUUGACGAUUUGUGACUGCUUUUCUUUUAGCGCUAAAUGUGAAAUAUUGUUGUUUCAAGAUUUGGAUAUCAUAGAACGAUAUUGGCUACUAAAAUUUAUUCCCUCGUCGAUUGAUCGUAUUAAAGGAAAACGAAUUUACUGUAAGUAGAAGAAUAAAUUUGCUAGAUGCGGUCGAGUCGGUAACAGAAUGACGACGUGUUUAAACAUUGAUUUAAAAAUAUCUCGUUGUCAGCCGUCGUAAACAAUGAGAAUAUUCGUGUGAUAUUUUUGCACGCAUUUAAACUUAGCAAAAGCACUGUAAAAGUAGCUGAAGACAUUAAUUUAGUUUGUCUAGUAAAUAUAAAAUAUCUAGUAAAUAUAAAAGACAGACAUGCAAAUGUUAGGGCAGUUUAAAAAGUAAAGCGAUGUUUCGUUAGAACAUGAACCGAGAGGAAGCCUGGAGAAUGUCAUCGACGUUUGAGAUAGUCAAGAUAUAUUACUGGAAAUAAUUUACGAUGAAAAGCAAGAGAAAUAGCGUUUCAAGCGAAGGGAAACCAUUUUACCAUUAGGCAGAUUAAAGAAAUACGUCAAAGUAACGAAAAUGGGCUGCAGAAGCUUAGACGAAUGGAGAUAACCUUGUUCGAUUCCAAAGGAAUAAACAGGAUCCGUUUUUGAAGCGUAUUAUCGCUUGUGAUGAAAAGUGGAUUUUAUUCAAUUACUGAAAACGUUUGAGAUAACAUUUUGAUAAAGAUGAACAUGCAAAUUUCAUGCCAAAACGUUGUUUCGCUCGGAAAGGAAAAUAAUCGUGACACAAUAUAGAAAUAAAAUCCUGUUAAUAUUAAAAUCUAUCUCUUAAUUCAGUUAAUAUUAAUAUUCGUAAAUUAAAAUAAUUACUAGUAAAUCGGUGUAUUAAAGAGCAGUUUUAUUAAUUCAUUAUGACGAAUUAUAAUGAAUAAUGAAACAUCUCGAAUACGAAUUAAAAUUAAAUAGAUUGUAUAAAGUGGAAUAAAUUUUAUCGAAAUUACUAAUUAUUAAUUAUUAUUAAAAUUAUUAUUGAAAUUAAAAAGCCGGACAAAAUUAUUUUUUGCGUAUAACAUUUGAAUAUUUAGUUAAAAAAUCGUGACAAGCUAUUCUCUUGUAAUAUUCAUCGUCUGUAUCCUAUUCAUUUCCUACAAUCCGAGGGCGAAAUUAUCACAGGAAUAUAUCGUAAACAAACAGAUGGAGUUAAUAAAGAAAUAACCAUGCGUUGGCUAACAAAUGGAAAUUAAACCUGCUGUAUUCCUUGUGCAUAUCGGGAAUAAUCAUACGAAAAUUCCAGGCAUCAGAAUAUGAAAUAUAGUCAUAUCUCGUCUAUAUUCUUUUCACGCAAAAAUUUCCAAAUUUGCAGUAGAAAAUUUGUUAGCAUAAAAAUCGUUUCAAAAUGAGGGCGCUCUAAAAAUAGUAUCGCGAAUAUUUUCAUAAAACUGAAGUAACACAAUUAAUUAGCAAUUGAGAAGAGGAUAUAGAAAAUACAAUUUGGAAGAUGUACAAAUGAUAUAUGUAUAAACAUAUGCAUUAAUCUAGCAAUAAAAAUAUAGCAUGCAACGUAUUGCAGGAAAAACAUAAUAUCUUGCUGGGGACCCAUUUACGAUCCACUUGUAGAACGACGACGUUUUUUAGCGUUUAACCGAGAAAUUAUUUCAAAUUUUCUAUUGAAGUUUAUUAUCAUUACAAAGACUGCUCGUCUUUGACUUGCCCAAAAAGACAAUUUAGUUGCUAGAAAGACAAAGGCGUCAUUACGUUAUUACUGGGAUCGAUCGAGGAGCUUUCGACGAUCGCAUUGUUAUCAACUUUCUAUCUUUUUUAUACGAUGGAAAGGACAAAGUGCUGUAAAAGCUGCUAUAUAAUUAUCGAUUUAAACGGAGGAAAUAUUAAAAAACCAGAACUAAAAUUUCCAGUGCUAUAAAAUAAAGCAUGAAGUUUCUCAAUCUCGUUUAUCCUCGAAGAACGAACAUGAGAUAAUUUGCAGAUAAUAUUUUUCAAUUUCGACCCUGGUAUUAAGUUAGUCGAAGAUCCCUACAUUUCUGUAUAGAUCAGGUAUUCCGGUGUCUUGUUCUGCACCCAAUAAAGAUCAAUGUAUCGUAAUACCACGACAUGCUAAUACAGUCGGUAGUUCUGACGAAUUUACAACCCUUCAGUCCACUUUCCCUAAAGUUCACCCAGUGUAAUACUCUUGCGUAAGAAACUUGCAGGCCACGUACCGUGGUAUCAGCCGAUGUUGCAAUACGGAAAACCUGUUCAACGAUAACCGUUUCGAUCGUGUUAUUUCUGUAUGAUUUGAAAUUUGAAGCAGACACAAAUGUUGCAGCAUCGGUAGCAUAAAUUGCUGGAGAGCGUACUUGGCGAAUUUUCCUCCAUAAUCUAUAUGCUGAUGUAGCAAAGAAUUUCAAAAAUAUCAGGAGACAGCCAAUUAGGUUAAGAGCAAGUAAGAAGAAGCUUUUAUAUCCGAAGUAAAGUCGCGACAAAACUACACAAAUACUACUAGCUGUUUUCUCGUAUUGCUCCUAUCGUAGAUAAGUACAACAAUGUAUCUGGUAUGCUAUAUCGAGAUUAAAUUGUUGUAACCUUAUGAUAAGGACAAAUUGUACGACAAUAAGGAAACAUAUGAAAUUUAUGACGGCUUAUAAUUACGGAACGAUAUGUACUGUAAUAUUAUUUUGUAUAAUUCAUAUACACAUAAAUAAUACAAUGUCACUCAUUGUACAACAGCAAAAUUGACUAUAGUAGCCAGCACGUUGGGUAGUUAGGGAGUAGUUGAAUUCAUUGCACAAUGCAUACGUGUUGAACAAGAGUAAUUGGACUCCCAGAGAAUUUAUCGAACGAAAAUGCUAGAAAAUAAUGUAUCAUUUUCAACGUCGUGUUACAAAUUUUAACAAACUACGGGACAACGGAUUUCAAAUAUUCCACAAACAUGACUGAUAUACGCAUAUCUUUUUAACGGAGAUAUAAAAAUAUAAAAUAUGUAGAAACCGCGAAACGACGUCGUAAUAUCGUAAUAUCUUUCAUAGUCAGAACUCAUAAUCACCGAGUUCUAGGAUCUUCAUCGCUCAAACAUGAAGGAUAUUUGACUCUUCAAAUUAAUGAAACGUUAGAUAUUAUCUCAAAUAACAACGAAGAUAAAGAAAAGAGUAAAGAGGGUAAAAGAUCUCGUCAAUGAAAAUUUCAAGAUCGCCGAAAUUACAGGCACAUAGAGCUAGAUUGAACGCGCAAGUUGCAGAAAAGAAGAUGAGGUCUUACGACUAUGGCUACGCGUGAGGUUUCAUGACCGAGAUCUGUUCGAGUGGUGUCUUACUGGGCAACUUCCCACAAACAACUCGUAGAUUCUUAUUGGGCAAGAUUCCACGACUUCCAGAUCUCACUGGCCAAGGUCCAUCGAUUUCACAGUCUUACCGUGCAAGGUUCAACAGUUUCAGAAUGGUCUGAGUCGAUGAUCUGCGACCUUGGGGUCACAUUGAACAAAGCAGUACGAGUCUGGUACGUUAUAGAAGAGGUACAUAACUAAUUACAUAAGAAUCUACAUAAAAGUUGUAUUGAACAAAUUAGAAUGAAAGGUACGUGAAAAAAUACGUAAUGCAAAGGACAAAAAGUAUUGAUCAAUAAACGUCCAUAAAGUUGGGAAGAAUGCAUCGUUGUAAAUUUAUAAAGCUCCCGUGAAAAGUCAUCAUUCUGACUAUUCUGAUAGUUCUAGCGUUAAUGGACGAUAUCUCACGAUUCCUCGAUCUAACUUGGAAAUGCGUUUGAUGGCUGAUUUACACUUUGACUGCCACGCUGGUAAUAUAUGACCAGCCAUGGUUUUUCCAACCAGAGCGUUGGACUUCUUACAAUUGUAAAAAUUGUAUAUGAAAAUUGACAGUUAGGUCAUUUUGAAUAUAACCGAUAAAUAGAAGAUACUUUGAAACAAAAAGUGUCCCAUUGAACAAUUAAACAUUUUUAUUAGAACAUCAAUAAAAAAAAAAGAACAAAUCUUGCAUCUAAUGGUGCACUGUGUUUGCAUCCAUAUCUUUGAGGGGUAAUCUACGAAUAUUAUUAUAAACACAGCUUAGAAAAUAAUCGUAAAUGUCGCUUUAUAAUCGUAUAUGUAAUUGAAGUUAGAAGUGUGCACAUACCUUACUAUUAUAUAUAGAAUGAGCAAAUACUGUUUAUUAAUAUCUUUCAGUAAUAUAUUCUGGACGUUUUGCUUACAACGAAAUGACGAAUGCGAAUGGUUUGUUGAAAUAAACAAAGUCUUGUUAUAAUAUGUCAUUAUCAACUGUUAUCAAGGCGUCACGGUGGUCACCCGUGACCACCAAUAAGAUAAACGGUCCAUUGGGGAAAAAUGUUAUCUUACAUCAUCAAUUUAUUAUUAUUUUGCCAUUAUAACUUUGAAUAAUAAAAAUACUCCCGUGACGUCCUGAGCGAACCAUGUGAUUUCGGCGUGGCAGUCAAAGUGUUAAUUAAAUGAGAUCCUCGAUUCUAGAGUCUACGACAUUGUUUAAAGUCUCGAAGGUCCAACAAUUAAGUGUCACCGUUUCAACACGUCACCAACUAAAAUAAUAUGACACCGAUUGUAAAAUCUAGUCGAGUAUUGCGUGAUUCUCAUUAAGUAGAAACUCACGACUCCAGCAUUUUAUAGGAAAAAUCUACAAAUGCCAAUGUUUAUCAAAGUCCCACAAUCUCAGAACUGCCCAAGGCAAAGUCCCACAGAUUUGGAUGGUUGCGGAUAAGAUACUACGAUUUUAGGAUCUGGUCGGGCGAGAUUCCACGAUUCCGGAGAUUUAGUGGGCGAGAUCUUGCAAGCUCGGGAUGGUCCGCGAUCGUGUCUCACGGUGGUAGUGUCUAAGUAGGUGAGGUCCUAUGACCCAAAGUUUGGCCGAGGUUCCACGACUUCGUUGUCUAGUCUGCUGGAGUUCUAUGACUCUAAGUGUGUUCGAGGUAAGUCUUUUAACCUCAUGGACAUCGAGAAUCAAUUAGCGUCUAAUAUAAAUUUAUACGACGAUAUAUAUGAUAUAAUAUGAAAUACAUGGCAAUCUAUGUUUUUAUGAAAACAGGCACAGAAAUAAAACCUAAUAGGAGAUUUAUUUUACCCUUUAAAUGUUACGAAUGUACGUUACUCUUAUCUUUUCCUCUUAAAAUUUUAUUCAUUCUUGGAAAAUCUUAAUUGAAAAAUUUCAGAAACUAAUGCAUCUGUAACCCGUACUUUGUUCUACAACAAAGAAUAUACUACAAAAUGACCUCCUCGUGGAAAACCAAAUUACUUCAACGUAAAGCAGACUGCAAUAUUACUUGUAAUUUUUCAAUUAUAGUUCGAAAUAUGAAUAUCAACUUGGCGGACGCUUACCAACGUCUCCUCCAAUUACCAACUUCACGACAAUUUCACUUUUGUCGUAAUGAUAAAAUAAUAUUAACAGAAGCGACGUCAAAGUAUUCUUUGUAGGAGAGCAGGAGCGCCGUUUAACGCGUGCUACAUAUUGGUUGGUAUAACGAGGAGAAGCUCUACCACGUGCCGCAACUUUAUGGCACUUACAAUGGCGGAACGAUAUUCAUUAAUCAGAAUGUCCAACACGUGUUAUCGAAACACUGCUAGUUUGCAUUCGGAAAAGUUAUUGCCAAACUAAAUUUGGCGCUGCGUUCGGUCAUGGCUAUGGAAGGAUAACGAGCAAGUUCGUGCCGAAAGUUUAGCUCCCGUGGACCGUAUCAGCUCGACCGUAUUAGUAUUUCUAAACAUAACGAUCAUGGUGUUGUUGGUCUUGCAGCUUGAUUAACUCUUCGUUCUCCAUAGUCUUCGCGGAACGUGGAAAAUCUGACGACCCGAAGAUUGUUUGGGAUCGUCGAAGAUAAAACGAACGGAAGAGCAACAGAGAAGCAAGGACAAAGCAGAGAAUGGUAAAAGAUAAAAGAAGCAGGUGAAAGGAAGUGCGCUGCAGUCUGAUAAUUAGCGAAACUGGAGUAAUUGGAAGAGAACGCUGAAUGUAUAAUAUUCAACGUGAUAUUAUCGAUAUCGUGUCAGAA